GACGAACGCUGGCGGCGUGCUUAACACAUGCAAGUCGAACGGAAAGGCCCUGCUUUUGUGGGGUGCUCGAGUGGCGAACGGGUGAGUAACACGUGAGUAACCUGCCCUUGACUUUGGGAUAACUUCAGGAAACUGGGGCUAAUACCGGAUAGGAGCUCCUGCUGCAUGGUGUUGGUUGGAAAGUUUCGGCGGUUGGGGAUGGACUCGCGGCUUAUCAGCUUGUUGGUGGGGUAGUGGCUUACCAAGGCUUUGACGGGUAGCCGGCCUGAGAGGGUGACCGGCCACAUUGGGACUGAGAUAAGGCCCAGACUCCUACGGGAGGCAGCAGUGGGGAAUAUUGCACAAUGGGCGGAAGCCUGAUGCAGCAACGCCGCGUGCGGGAUGAAGGCCUUAGGGUUGUAAACCGCUUUCGCCUGUGACGAAGCGUGAGUGACGGUAAUGGGUAAAGAAGCACCGGCUAACCACGUG
rnacentral:rRNA from 1 species